GGCGGCAUGCUUACACAUGCAAGUCGAACGGGAAUUACUUUAUUGAAACUUCGGUCGAUUUAAUUUAAUUCUAGUGGCGGACGGGUGAGUAACGCGUGGGUAACCUGCCUUAUACAGGGGGAUAACAGUCAGAAAUGGCUGCUAAUACCGCAUAAGCGCACAGAGCUGCAUGGCUCAGUGUGAAAAACUCCGGUGGUAUAAGAUGGACCCGCGUUGGAUUAGCUGGUUGGUGGGGUAACGGCCCACCAAGGCGACGAUCCAUAGCCGGCCUGAGAGGGUGAACGGCCACAUUGGGACUGAGACACGGCCCAGACUCCUACGGCAGGCAGCAGUGGGGAAUAUUGCACAAUGGGGGAAACCCUGAUGCAGCGACGCCGCGUGAAGGAAGAAGUAUCUCGGUAUGUAAACUUCUAUCAGCAGGGAAGAUAGUGACGGUGCCUGACUAAGAAGCCCCGGCUAACUACGUGCCAGCAGCCGCGGUAAU
rnacentral:rRNA from 1 species